rnacentral:rRNA from 1 species
CCUACGGGUGGCAGCAGUAGGGAAUCUUCCACAAUGGGCGAAAGCCUGAUGGAGCAACGCCGCGUGGGUGAAGAAGGUCUUCGGAACGUAAAACCCUGUUGUUAGAGAAGAAAGUGCUUGAGAGUAACUGUUCACGUUUCGACGGUAUCUAACCAGAACGCCACGGCUAACUACGUGCAAGCAGCCGCGGUAAUACGUAGGUGGCAAGCGUUAUCCGGAGUUAUUUGGCGUAAGGGGAUCGCAGGCGGUGGGGCAAGUCAGCGGUCAAAGUGCGGGGCUCAACCCCGUACUGCCGUUGAAACUGCAUCCCUUGAGUGCGAGAGAAGUAUGCGGAAUGCGUGGUGUAGCGGUGAAAUGCAUAGAUAUCACGCAGAACUCCGAUUGCGAAGGCAGCAUACCGGCGCGAAACUGACGCUCAUGCACGAAAGCGUGGGUAUCGAACAGGAUUAGAUACCCCAGUAGUC